rnacentral:rRNA from 1 species
UACGUAGGUGGCAAGCGUUGUCCGGAUUUAUUGGGCGUAAAGCGCGCGCAGGCGGUUUCUUAAGUCUGAUGUGAAAGCCCCCGGCUCAACCGGGGAGGGUCAUUGGAAACUGGGAAACUUGAGUGCAGAAGAGGAGAGUGGAAUUCCAUGUGUAGCGGUGAAAUGCGUAGAUAUAUGGAGGAACACCAGUGGCGAAGGCGGCUCUCUGGUCUGUAACUGACGCUGAGGCUCGAAAGCGUGGGGAGCAAACAGG